rnacentral:tRNA from 1 species
GGGCCGGUAGCUCAGCUUGGAAGGCAGAAAACAAUGCCUGAGCAAUAGAGCACCUGACUUUUAAUCAGGUGGUCGCGGGUUCGAAAAAAAGACGAAAAUCCCGUCCGGCCCA